rnacentral:lncRNA from 1 species
UCUCCAAUUUCCCUCUCAUCUCUGGUGACAAACUAUCCCCAUUUUUCUCCAACAUUGACUUCAUCAUUUCAAGAUUCUUUUUUAUACCCACAAGACCUUCACAAGGUUUCAACUCCAAAGGAACGCUUUUAACGCGUUCAACUCCUUCAUUAACAUCUACCAUCGACCCUGCAAUUCCGCAUUCUCCUGGAUACAAAAGAAAUCUGCUCUUUUUUCUUUCUCUCGUCUCGAACAGUUUUUCAGAUUUUUCAAAAUCGUAAUAAAAAUACCUGUUUUCCUCUUCGGCUUUUACCUCCGAUGGACUCCCGAGAGUCAUUUCGAGCUGAUGCAUCGGGAUUUGGAGAUGCCCUAAUGAGCGAUAAAAAGCAGAUAAACAACUCUGUUUGACAACAUAAUCAAUCUUGUUAGGAACAGAAAUAACUUUCGCAAGAUCUUUAAUAUAAUCAAGAAGCUUCGCGGGUUCAAAUCGGGUCAACAAAAGAUCACCAAAGUUACCGGCUUUCUCUAUUUUCAUCUUGCGGAAACACGAACAAGUGAACUCGGUUUUCACACGGUGACCAAGUUCAGCAACAGCCUUAUCUAACGCGUCAAGAAACUUUUUCGCUGUACUUUGACUAGGUAACUGGUCAAAAUACCCGACAAACGGCUUCACUUCACAUGCAGCGCACCAAAUAUAACUCCCGUUACCAAAACACCUAAGUAAAUAAUCAUCUUCUCUUGUCGGCCCGUUUGCAGCUUUUGGUGCAUCAGAACCAUCACAAACAACUGCAGGCCACCAUGAUGAUUUGUUCGGUUUCCUGAUUACCGCCCACACAAGAUCACCCACGUUGACACUAAACUCGUGUUGACCAACAUCGAUUACGCUUUCACACUCCGGUUUAACAUUGACCCUAAACUGGUGUUGACCUACAUUGCAUAUGCUUUCACAUUCCGAUUUAACAUUGACCCUAAACUCGUCUUGAUCAACAUCUUGUACGCUUUCACGCUCCGUUUUACUUGUCACUCCACCGGUUAACUCAACAAAAAGUGAAAUACCUUUAAUAUUAACACCUCCACGACUAAUCGAAUCAAUCGGGUCAAAACCGUUGACUUUACACGGGUCAAUGCACCCCCUUUCUACAACUGGUGCAAACACAGACUCAACGCAUUUCUCUUUCCCUAAACCCUUGAUGACGGUUUCCGAACCUUUUACGGUUUCCAUAUGAACAACAUUCAACUAAACCAAACACUUCGUAACCCUAAUUCAGUUGAGAACUAGCAUCAUCUUCACAGCUGAACAAAAAUCACAAAACCCACAAAAUAAUCAGACAUUUGAACCCCUAGCAUACAUCAAAACUAAAAAAGCUUCAAUCCUUAACAUACCCACAACCCAAAAACACAGAUUAAAGAACUAAAACAAGUAUAUGUUACAAUGUAGCAAUUUUGAAGAACAUGUGAGUAUCAGAUUUUUGUCUGGUCGUAUGUAAUGUACACGACAUCUUUAUAAGGACCGUAUACGGUUAUACAGCCCGUAUAUUUCGAAUGUUGUAUUUUUUUUUUAAUUUUAAUUGUCUAACUAGACGUAAGAUUCUUCGAUUCGAU